UCAGUAACGGCGAGUGAAGCGGCAACAGCUCAAAUUUGAAAUCUGGCUCUCGGGCCCGAGUUGUAAUUUGUAGAGGAUGCUUUUGGUGCGGUGCCUUCCGAGUUCCCUGGAACGGGACGCCAUAGAGGGUGAGAGCCCCGUCUGGUUGGACGCCAAUCCUCUGUAAAGCUCCUUCGACGAGUCGAGUAGUUUGGGAAUGCUGCUCUAAAUGGGAGGUAUAUGUCUUCUAAAGCUAAAUACCGGCCAGAGACCGAUAGCGCACAAGUAGAGUGAUCGAAAGAUGAAAAGAACUUUGAAAAGAGAGUUAAAAAGUACGUGAAAUUGUUGAAAGGGAAGCGCUUGUGACCAGACUUGGGCUUGGUUGAUCAUCCAGGGUUCUCCCUGGUGCACUCUUCCGGCCCAGGCCAGCAUCAGUUCGCCCCGGGGGAAAAAGGCUUCGGGAAUGUGGCUCUCUCCGGGGAGUGUUAUAGCCCGCUGCGUAAUACCCUGUGGCGGACUGAGGUUCGCGCAUUCGCAAGGAUGCUGGCGUAAUGGUCAUCAGUGACCCGUCUUGAAACACGGACCAAGGAGUCGUCUUCGUAUGCGAGUGUUCGGGUGUCAAACCCCUACGCGAAAUGAAAGUGAACGCAGGUGAGAGCUUCGGCGCAUCAUCGACCGAUCCUGAUGUUUUCGGAUGGAUUUGAGUAAGAGCAUACGGGGCCGGACCCGAAAGAAGGUGAACUAUGCCUGUGUAGGGUGAAGCCAGAGGAAACUCUGGUGGAGGCUCGCAGCGGUUCUGACGUGCAAAUCGAUCGUCAAACAUGGGCAUGGGGGCGAAAGACUAAUCGAACCUUCUAGUAGCUGGUUUCCGCCGAAGUUUCCCUCAGGAUAGCAGUGUUGAACUCAGUUUUAUGAGGUAAAGCGAAUGAUUAGGGACUCGGGGGCGCUAUUUAGCCUUCAUCCAUUCUCAAACUUUAAAUAUGUAAGAAGCCCUUGUUGCUUAAUUGAACGUGGGCAUUCGAAUGAAUCAACACUAGUGGGCCAUUUUUGGUAAGCAGAACUGGCGAUGCGGGAUGAACCGAACGCGAGGUUAAGGUGCCAGAGUAGACGCUCAUCAGACACCACAAAAGGUGUUAGUACAUCUUGACAGCAGGACGGUGGCCAUGGAAGUCGGAAUCCGCUAAGGACUGUGUAACAACUCACCUGCCGAAUGUACUAGCCCUGAAAAUGGAUGGCGCUCAAGCGUCUCACCCAUACCUCGCCCUCAGGGUAGAAACGAUGCCCUGAGGAGUAGGCGGACGUGGAGGUCAGUGACG
rnacentral:rRNA from 1 species